rnacentral:rRNA from 1 species
CACGUAGGGGGCGAGCGUUGUCCGGAUUUAUUGGGCGUAAAGAGCUCGUAGGCGGCUCAGUAAGUCAGGUGUGAAAACUCCAGGCUCAACCUGGAGACGCCACUUGAUACUGCUGUGGCUAGAGUCCGGUAGGGGAGCAUGGAAUUCCUGGUGUAGCGGUGAAAUGCGCAGAUAUCAGGAGGAACACCUAUGGCGAAGGCAGCUCGCUGGGACGUUACUGACGCUGAGACGCGAAAGCGUGGGGAGCAAACAGG